UAUUUCGAUUUUAAAAAAAAGCUGAUUCAUGCAUUGAAAAAGCAAAUACCAGAGUCCUAUUCCACUGUCGCAUUUCAAAUCUUAUAAACCCUACACCCUCUUCUUCUUUCUUCUCCUUUGCAUAAUUUUAAAUCUGAAACUCCCAUAUUUUUCCCCAUACUUCUGUUUCUCCUAAGUAGGUGUCCUCCUCCCUCAUUUUUCUCUCACCAUUUAAUUUCCUCUAUCCUGAGUUCUUGUUCGGUGUUCGGUGGUAGCUGUUUCAUAUAUCAAUUUUUUCUAGAUUAGUUAUUUUCCCUAUAUCUU
rnacentral:lncRNA from 1 species